rnacentral:pre_miRNA from 1 species
AAUGUGAUAGCUGGGCCAAAUGGUGGUUCUAUUCCAAGUUUUCCAAGGAAUCUCCACACUGCUUUCCAUAUUGGUUAUACCAAUUUGAAGUUCCACCAGCAAU